rnacentral:rRNA from 1 species
GGUUAAGCGACUAAGCGUACACGGUGGAUGCCCUGGCAGUCAGAGGCGAUGAAGGACGUGCUAAUCUGCGAAAAGCGUCGGUAAGGUGAUAUGAACCGUUAUAACCGGCGAUGUCCGAAUGGGGAAACCCAGUGUGAUUCGUCACACUAUCGUUAACUGAAUACAUAGGUUAACGAGGCGAACCGGGGGAACUGAAACAUCUAAGUACCCCGAGGAAAAGAAAUCAACCGAGAUUCCCCCAGUAGCGGCGAGCGAACGGGGAGCAGCCCAGAGUCUGAAUCAGCUUGUGUGUUAGUGGAACGGUCUGGAAAGUCCGACGGUACAGGGUGAUAGUCCCGUACACCAAAAUGCACAGGCUGUGAACUCGAAGAGUAGGGCGGGACACGUGGUAUCCUGUCUGAAUAUGGGGGGACCAUCCUCCAAGGCUAAAUACUCCUGACUGACCGAUAGUGAACCAGUACCGUGAGGGAAAGGCGAAAAGAACCCCGGCGAGGGGAGUGAAAAAGAACCUGAAACCGUGUACGUACAAGCAGUGGGAGCACCUUCGGGUGUGACUGCGUACCUUUUGUAUAAUGGGUCAGCGACUUAUAUUCUGUAGCAAGGUUAACCGUAUAGGGGAGCCGCAGGGAAACCGAGUCUUAACUGGGCGUUAAGUUGCAGGGUAUAGACCCGAAACCCGGUGAUCUAGCCAUGGGCAGGUUGAAGGUUGGGUAACACUAACUGGAGGACCGAACCGACUAAUGUUGAAAAAUUAGCGGAUGACUUGUGGCUGGGGGUGAAAGGCCAAUCAAACCGGGAGAUAGCUGGUUCUCCCCGAAAGCUAUUUAGGUAGCGCCUCGUGAAUUCAUCUUCGGGGGUAGAGCACUGUUUCGGCUAGGGGGUCAUCCCGACUUACCAACCCGAUGCAAACUACGAAUACCGAAGAAUGUUAUCACGGGAGACACACGGCGGGUGCUAACGUCCGUCGUGAAGAGGGAAACAACCCAGACCGCCAGCUAAGGUCCCAAAGUCAUGGUUAAGUGGGAAACGAUGUGGGAAGGCACAGACAGCCAGGAUGUUGGCUUAGAAGCAGCCAUCAUUUAAAGAAAGCGUAAUAGCUCACUGGUCGAGUCGGCCUGCGCGGAAGAUGUAACGGGGCUAAACCAUGCACCGAAGCUGCGGCAGCGACACUAUGUGUUGUUGGGUAGGGGAGCGUUCUGUAAGCCUGCGAAGGUGUGCUGUGAGGCAUGCUGGAGGUAUCAGAAGUGCGAAUGCUGACAUAAGUAACGAUAAAGCGGGUGAAAAGCCCGCUCGCCGGAAGACCAAGGGUUCCUGUCCAACGUUAAUCGGGGCAGGGUGAGUCGACCCCUAAGGCGAGGCCGAAAGGCGUAGUCGAUGGGAAACAGGUUAAUAUUCCUGUACUUGGUGUUACUGCGAAGGGGGGACGGAGAAGGCUAUGUUAGCCGGGCGACGGUUGUCCCGGUUUAAGCAUGUAGGCUGGUUGUCCAGGCAAAUCCGGAUAAUCAAGGCUGAGGUGUGAUGACGAGGCACUACGGUGCUGAAGUAACAAAUGCCCUGCUUCCAGGAAAAGCCUCUAAGCAUCAGGUAACAUUAAAUCGUACCCCAAACCGACACAGGUGGUCAGGUAGAGAAUACCAAGGCGCUUGAGAGAACUCGGGUGAAGGAACUAGGCAAAAUGGUGCCGUAACUUCGGGAGAAGGCACGCUGGUGUGUAGGUGAAGCCCCUGCGGGUGGAGCUGAGACCAGUCGAAGAUACCAGCUGGCUGCAACUGUUUAUUAAAAACACAGCACUGUGCAAACACGAAAGUGGACGUAUACGGUGUGACGCCUGCCCGGUGCCGGAAGGUUAAUUGAUGGGGUUAUCCGUAAGGAGAAGCUCUUGAUCGAAGCCCCGGUAAACGGCGGCCGUAACUAUAACGGUCCUAAGGUAGCGAAAUUCCUUGUCGGGUAAGUUCCGACCUGCACGAAUGGCGUAAUGAUGGCCAGGCUGUCUCCACCCGAGACUCAGUGAAAUUGAACUCGCUGUGAAGAUGCAGUGUACCCGCGGCAAGACGGAAAGACCCCGUGAACCUUUACUAUAGCUUGACACUGAACAUUGAGCCUUGAUGUGUAGGAUAGGUGGGAGGCUUUGAAGCGUGGACGCCAGUCUGCGUGGAGCCAACCUUGAAAUACCACCCUUUAAUGUUUGAUGUUCUAACGUUGGCCCCUGACCGGGGUUGCGGACAGUGUCUGGUGGGUAGUUUGACUGGGGCGGUCUCCUCCCAAAGCGUAACGGAGGAGCACGAAGGUUAGCUAAUCCUGGUCGGACAUCAGGAGGUUAGUGCAAUGGCAUAAGCUAGCUUGACUGCGAGCGUGACGGCGCGAGCAGGUGCGAAAGCAGGUCAUAGUGAUCCGGUGGUUCUGAAUGGAAGGGCCAUCGCUCAACGGAUAAAAGGUACUCCGGGGAUAACAGGCUGAUACCGCCCAAGAGUUCAUAUCGACGGCGGUGUUUGGCACCUCGAUGUCGGCUCAUCACAUCCUGGGGCUGAAGUAGGUCCCAAGGGUAUGGCUGUUCGCCAUUUAAAGUGGUACGCGAGCUGGGUUUAGAACGUCGUGAGACAGUUCGGUCCCUAUCUGCCGUGGGCGCUGGAGAAUUGAGGGGGGCUGCUCCUAGUACGAGAGGACCGGAGUGGACGCAUCACUGGUGUUCGGGUUGUCAUGCCAAUGGCACUGCCCGGUAGCUAAAUGCGGAAGAGAUAAGUGCUGAAAGCAUCUAAGCACGAAACUUGCCCCGAGAUGAGUUCUCCCUGAGACUUUAAGUCUCCUGAAGGAACGUUGAAGACGACGACGUUGAUAGGCCGGGUGUGUAAGCGCAGCGAUGCGUUGAGCUAACCGGUACUAAUGAACCGUGAGGCUUAACCUU